GCGGAUGUGGCGGAAUUGGUAGACGCGCUAGCUUCAGGUGCUAGUGCCCGCAAGGGCGUGGAGGUUCAAGUCCUCUUAUCCGCACCA
rnacentral:tRNA from 2 species